rnacentral:rRNA from 1 species
UACAGAGGUCUCAAGCGUUGUUCGGAUUCAUUGGGCGUAAAGGGUGCGUAGGUGGCGGGGCAAGUUUGGUGUGAAAUCCCGGGGCUCAACCUCGGAACUGCACUGAAUACUGCCUUGCUUGAGCACUGGAGAGGGAACUGGAAUUUACGGUGUAGCAGUGAAAUGCGUAGAUAUCGUAAGGAAGACCAGUGGCGAAGGCGAGUUCCUGGACAGUUGCUGACACUGAGGCACGAAGGCUAGGGGAGCAAACGGG